CCAACCCCGUAACCAACGCCCGAGGCCAGCGGAGGCCAUUUGCGCUCCUUCCCGGCCAGUCUGAGACUCGCGCCCCUUUGUGGCCAUUCUGAGACUUGCGCUGAUUUUGGCAGGUGCAGUCAAUUGAUCUCAGCCAAAUUGGCUUUAGCUUUGCAAUCAAUUGAUCUCAUCCAAAUUGGCUUUAGCUUUGCCUUGCUUACGGGGUUGGGUUAGCUUUGCUUUGUUUGUUUGUACCGCAGGGCUAACCCAACCCCGUAACCAACGCCCGAGGCCAGCGGAGGCCAUUUGCGCCCCUUCCCGGCCAGUCUGAGAC
rnacentral:lncRNA from 1 species